UACGUAGGGAGCUAGCGUUGUCCGGAAUCAUUGGGCGUAAAGCGCGCGUAGGCGGCCCGGUAAGUCCGCUGUGAAAGUCAAAGGCUCAACCUUUGAAUGUCAGCGGAUACUGCCGGGCUAGAGUCCGGAAGAGGCGAGUGGAACUCCUGGUGUAGCGGUGGAAUGCGCAGAUAUCAGGAAGAACACCAACGGCGAAGGCAGCUCGCUGGGACGUCACUGACGCUGAGACGCGAAAGCGUGGGGAGCAAACAGG
rnacentral:rRNA from 1 species